AUGCAUGAACCAAGGAGAGGGCAUCUUGAUAUUGUUCACAGAAUCCUGAGAUACUUGAAGGGGACUCCGGGUAAAGGGUUGUGGUUUGCGAAGAGUGGACAUCUUGAGGUGGAUGGCUAUAGUGACUCUGAUUGGGCUAGCUGUCAAGAUGAUAGACGAUCAACUUCAGGUUACUGUGUGUUUGUGGGAGGAAAUUUGGUGUCAUGGAGAAGCAAGAAACAGAAUGUUGUGUCUAGAUCAACAGCAGAAGCUGAAUAUAGAGCAUUAUCUCAAGGGUUGUGUGAUAUGCUCUGGGUGAAGCACCUACUAUGCAAGUUGAAACUCUUGAGGAAGGGACCCUUAAGGGUGUGGUGUGACAAUCAGUCAGCUAUAGCCAUUGCUAAUAACCCAGUUCAACAUGAUAGGACGAAGCAUGUGGAAAUUGAUCGCUUCUUCAUUAAAGAGAAACUUGAUGCUGGGAUCAUCAGCCUUACUCAUGUCAGCUCUGGGCAACAGUUUGCAGAUUGCUUGACAAAGGGACUGGGAACAAAGGACUGUAACUUGGCGUGUGACAAGAUGGGGAUGAUAGAUAUCUACCACCCAUCUUGA
rnacentral:rRNA from 1 species